rnacentral:rRNA from 1 species
AGGAAUUUUCCCCAAUGGGCGCAAGCCUGAGGGAGCAACGCCGCGUGGAGGACGACGGCCUUCGGGUUGUAAACUCCUUUCGGGUGGGACGAUGCUGACGGUACCACCAGAAGCAGCCCCGGCUAACUCCGUGCCAGCAGCCGCGGUAAGACGGAGGAUGCAAGUGUUAUCCGGAAUCACUGGGCGUAAAG